rnacentral:rRNA from 1 species
UACUUAGGGAUCUGUCCUUGGGAGGGGGAUAACCAUUGGAAACGAUGGCUAAUACCGCAUAACGUCUACGGACCAAAGGGGGCUUCGGCUCUCGCCUAUGGAGGAACCUAAGCGAGAUUAGCUAGUUGGUGAGGUAAAGGCUCACCAAGGCGACGAUCUCUAGCUGUUCUGAGAGGAAGAUCAGCCACACUGGGACUGAGACACGGCCCAGACUCCUACGGGAGGCAGCAGUGGGGAAUAUUGCACAAUGGGGGAAACCCUGAUGCAGCCAUGCCGCGUGUGUGAAGAAGGCCUUCGGUU